GUUACAACUCGUUCCUCAGUUCAACACAGAAGGAACUGACUCCGGUGGAGUUCCCUUGGAGCUGCCUGUCAAAGCAGGACUUGUUGUACUACAGGGUCUGGGUUGUCCUGGCAAGCUGCUGAUCUUCCAUACUACCUCUCUGAUAGAGACUGGACACACAAGCUCAGGCUUCUUUGGCACCAACAAACCAAAGUCCAUCUUUCAGCCAUCAGAACAGGUCGUGUCAGUGGUCAAGGAGUGCGUCCAUCAGGGAUGUGGUGUUCAUCUGUUUGUCCUCUCUCACCAAGAUGUGGGUGGGGCUUGGCCAGGCGACAUUCCAUAUUUGACAGGUGGAGCUCUGCACACUUACAGCCACC